UCUUAAUUAGAAGCUGGAAUGACGGGUUUAAUGAGAAAUUAGCUGUCUUUUUUUAAAUUUUACAAUUUUAUUUUUGAGUUAAAAAGCUUAAAUUUAUUAUAAAGACGAGAAGACCCUAUAGAGUUUAAUAACUGGUUGAUUUAAGUUUACAGGUUUAUUUAUAUUUAAAUUUAAUUUGUUAAUUGGUUGGGGUGAUUAUAAAAUUUGAUUAACUUUUUUUGUUCUUUACAUUUAGUAAUGAUGGAUUGAUCCUUUAUUUAGGAUUAUAAGAUUAAAUUACCUUAGGGAUAACAGCGUAAUUUUUCUUGAAAGUUCAUAUUUAUAGAAGAGUUUGCGACCUCGAUGUUGGAUUAA
rnacentral:rRNA from 1 species